UACGAAGGGGGCUAGCGUUGCUCGGAAUCACUGGGCGUAAAGCGCACGUAGGCGGAUUGCUAAGUCAGGGGUGAAAUCCUGGAGCUCAACUCCAGAACUGCCUUUGAUACUGGCGAUCUUGAGUCCGGGAGAGGUGAGUGGAACUGCGAGUGUAGAGGUGAAAUUCGUAGAUAUUCGCAAGAACACCAGUGGCGAAGGCGGCUCACUGGCCCGGUACUGACGCUGAGGCGCGAAAGCCAGGGGAGCAAACGGG
rnacentral:rRNA from 1 species